CAUAGGCAUUAAACUCAAAAAAUAGUCUAUUUUAUCUAUAAGUAAAUAAAUAUAGUUAUUAAAAAAAAUAGUACAUUUAUUUAGCUAUUGCCAUUGACGAAAAUUGUUAUAUCCUCCAAACUCAUGUUUGGAACCACAUAAUUGCCAUUUCUUAUAACAGUAAAAUAGUUAGAAUUUAAUUUUAUCUUGCUUUUGCUUCUCUUCUUAGUUUCUUCCAGAUUUAUAUGCAUCUGUUCUGUGCCUCAAUUUGUGCUCUUAUACGCGUAAUGGAUUCUGUACAUGUUUCUGUCUCUGAUGAGUAACUUUCGUUUUUCUAACUGUCUGUGCUCAUCAUUUCAGAUUAUUGUGUAAAUUUGACAAAAUAAAAUGUGCUCCUUCUGGCUUCUUGGAAACCUAUGGUCUGAGGUUUUUAAGUUUUGACUUUUAUUGAAGAGUUUCUUAAUUGCACUUUCCUUCCAAAAUGAGCCGACCAAUGGAGGAAGAUGCAAGUUCUUUUAAGCAUAUUCGUUAUGCAACUUAGGUUUUAUGCCUAUAUAUAUAUAUAUAUAUAUAUCUAAUGUUUUGUAUGGAAUACUAGAGUAAAAGUUUAUGCGUUAGUGUAAAUUGUCUUACAUAGUUAUCUAAUGAUAAUUUA